rnacentral:rRNA from 1 species
GCAGGGGGGUGAAAAGGCACUGGCUUUAACCAAUGUCAGCCCCCCUGAACUGGGCUACUUUGAGUGCAGGAGAGGAAAGUGGAAUUCUAGUGUAGCGGUGAAAUGCGUAGAUAUUAGGAGGAACACCAGUGGCGAARGCGACUUUCUGGACUGUUACUGACACUGAGGCACGAAAGUGUGGGGAGCAAACAGGAUUAGAUACCCUGGUAGUCCACACCGUAAACGAUGAGCACUARGUGUCGGGGGAGCAAUUUCUCGGUGCCGCAGUUAACGCAUUAAGUGCUCCGCCUGGGGAGUACGUACGCAAGUAUGAAACUCAAAGGAAUUGACGGGGACCCGCACAAGCAGCGGAGCAUGUGGUUUAAUUCGAAGCAACGCGAAGAACCUUACCAGGUCUUGACAUCCCUCUGAAACUCCUGAUAACGAUGGAGCCUCCUUCGGGACAGAGGAGACAGGUGGUGCAUGGUUGUCGUCAGCUCGUGUCGUGAGAUGUUGGGUUAAGUCCCGCAACGAGCGCAACCCUUGCCGAUAGUUGCCAUCAUUAAGUUGGGCACUCUAUCGGGACUGCCGGGGACAACUCGGAGGAAGGUGGGGAUGACGUCAAAUCAUCAUGCCCCUUAUGAUCUGGGCUACACACGUGCUACAAUGGUCGGUACAAAAGGCAGCAAACCUGUGAGGGGGAGCAAAUCCCAAAAACCGAUCCCAGUUCGGACUGUAGGCUGCAACUCGCCUACACGAAGUCGGAGUUGCUAGUAAUCGUGGAUCAGAAUGCCACGGUGAAUGCGUUCCCGGGACUUGUACACACCGCCCGUCACACCACGGAAGUUGGGGGUGCCCGAAGUUGGCAGGCAAAUAUGUUACCUAAGGCAAAACCGAUGACUGGGGUGAAGUCGUAACAAGAUAACCCGGGCGGCCGCUC